CGGGGGGCUGCACGUUACAGAUGAGGGAGCAACACUUGAUGGCCUUCUCGUCCCGAGGCACCAGCCAGCCCGACCCCGCAACUGCCGCGGCGGGCGGGCGCGGAACUGCGGCUUGGGUAGUGGGGCAAGGGGUGGCGGGCGACGGCGGCCGCAACCCCGCAAAGGGACGUUCACGGCGAAGGACGAGCUGAACUGCGGGUCAUUUUGGGAGGCUUGACACAGGAAGCCGAAGAGUCCAACCUGCUCAAAAAAAAAAAAAA
rnacentral:lncRNA from 10 species